rnacentral:rRNA from 1 species
AUUGAACGCUGGCGGCAGGCCUAACACAUGCAAGUCGAGCGCCCCGCAAGGGGAGCGGCAGACGGGUGAGUAACGCGUGGGAAUCUACCCAUCCCUACGGAACAACUCCGGGAAACUGGAGCUAAUACCGUAUACGCCCUUCGGGGAAGAUUUAUCGGGGAUGGAUGAGCCCGCGUUGGAUUAGCUAGUUGGUGGGGUAA